UUUGGUCACCUCCUGACCAGGUACGACCUGACGCCGAGGACCGCACGAUCUGGGCUGAUCGAGCGGCUUGUGUUCGGCCGGUCGUUCUGCCUAGAUAGUGUGCGUGCACUCUGAAGUAUUUGGGUUCUUUGUGAUCUCAUCUCAUUAUAAAGUCAGUAAACUAAGAACCUGCCAAGCCGUGGUGAUUUUCUGAACUGUUGGUUUAGACCCAACCUGUUCAUCAGCACGUCGGCGCAGUUUGCAUAUACAACCCCUGCUCCGCCCCUCAAAGUGAAUUUUAAAAUUCAGAUCGGGAACGACCCAAAAUGCGAUUAACUAUGGGCUUAUAGCUCCUGUGCAACACAUUUGAGGUGAAUUGGCAACAGUGCGACGUUGUUCGAGCGAAUGGCUGUGGUGCGACAAUUUUGAGCAGGUAAAUAGCCCAUGCAUGACAUGGCUGUUAAACUCAACUGAUGCCCUCAUUAGCUGUUGGGGGCUGGACCCACCACUAAUCCACGUAAGCGCGGGACACACCACUUGUCUACUCGCGGGACCCACCUCCUCGCAGCUAGAAGAGACGAGCGCCCGUACCCGUCCGCCCGCCGCCGCCCAUUCAGCCCCUUUCCCCAAUCUUUCUCUUCUCCGACGACCUAGCGCAAAUGUCUACCUCCUCCGCCACGCACUCAAAAUGGCGACAGUAUGAUCCAAUGCUGCUCACAAGGUGCCCUGACUGCCCAUGCCCAGAGCCUCUUAAACGGUUGGUCACUAAGAAAGAUGACAAUGGCAAUCUUGGACGGGAAUUUGUGAAAUGCUUGAGCAAACCAAUGGGGAAGGGAUGGCAAGAUCCUGAAGAAAUGUUACCAUUUCAAGUGGAUUGAUGAAUAUGUUGAUAGGAUUUAGUUUGAUAGGAUUUGAGCGUGGCCGCAACCUGGGAGCUCAAUUUGGGCGGGGUGCCGCCGAUUGCUAUGGAGAAUAUGGGGAGCUCUGGCAGAGGGGCGGGCAGAGUCGUGCCGAUGGCGAUGUAUGCGCGCAAUGAUGAACUGCACGCGGGGUCCAAACUGACCGAGGAACUGAAGAAGAUCAAGAAACAUCUAAUGCAGAUGAUCGAUUUGCAAAAGCAAGGAAAUAUCAUGGCAGGGGGUUCUAUUGCUGUAUCAUUGCUCUGUUUUUGUUUUAUUUGUUGUUCAUCUGUCAUUAGAAUGGGCAUUUAGGCCUGUCAGGGUAGAGGAUGUUAUCUGUGCGCCAUGCCAAGUUCAUGUAUCUGAAUUGAAACAGCAAUUUGGAACACAAAUUAUUCAGUAUUCAUGCUCUGUUUCCUU